AUUGAACGCUGGCGGCAGGCUUAACACAUGCAAGUCGAGCGGAGAUGAGGUGCUUGCACCUUAUCUCAGCGGCGGACGGGUGAGUAAUGCUUAGGAAUCUGCCUAUUAGUGGGGGACAACAUUCCGAAAGGAAUGCUAAUACCGCAUACGUCCUACGGGAGAAAGCAGGGGAUCUUCGGACCUUGCGCUAAUAGAUGAGCCUAAGUCGGAUUAGCUAGUUGGUGGGGUAAAGGCAUACCAAGGCGACGAUCUGUAGCGGGUCUGAGAGGAUGAUCCGCCACACUGGGACUGAGACACGGCCCAGACUCCUACGGGAGGCAGCAGUGGGGAAUAUUGGACAAUGGGGGGAACCCUGAUCCAGCCAUGCCGCGUGUGUGAAGAAGGCCUUAUGGUUGUAAAGCACUUUAAGCGAGGAGGAGGCUACUGAGACUAAUACUCUUGGAUAGUGGACGUUACUCGCAGAAUAAGCACCGGCUAACUCUGUGCCAGCCGCCGCGGUAACAC
rnacentral:rRNA from 1 species